GAUGAACGCUGGCGGCGUGCCUAAUACAUGCAAGUCGAGCGAAUGACGAGGAGCUUGCUCCUCUGAUUUAGUGGCGGACGGGUGAGUAACACGUGGGUAACCUGCCUGUAAGACGGGGAUAACUCCGGGAAACCGGAGCUAAUACCGGAUGAUAACGAGAAGCGCCUGCUUCUUUUUUGAAAGUCGGUUUCGGCUGACGCUUACAGAUGGGCCCGCGGCGCAUUAGCUAGUUGGUGAGGUAACGGCUCACCAAGGCGACGAUGCGUAGCCGCCCUGAGAGGGUGAUCGGACACACUGGGACUGAGACACGGCCCAGACUCCUACGGGAGGAAGCAGUAGGGAAUCUUCGGCAAUGGACGAAAGUCUGACCGAGCAACGCCGCGUGAGCGAUGAAGGCCUUCGGGUCGUAAAGCUCUGUUGUCAGAGAAGAACAAGUACCGGAGUAACUGCCGGUACCUUGACGGUACCUGACCAGAAAGCCACGGCUAACUACGUGCCAGCCGCCGCGGUAAGAC
rnacentral:rRNA from 1 species